rnacentral:rRNA from 1 species
UAUUGUUCUUCAACGAGGAAUCCCUAGUAAGCACAAGUCAUUAGCUUGUGCUGAUUACGUCCCUGCCCUUUGUACACACCGCCCGUCGCUACUACCGAUUGAAUGGCUUAGUGAGGCCUUCGGAUUGGGAUUCGGAAACUGGCAACAGAUUCUUGAUUUUGAAAAGUUGGUCAAACUUGGUCAUUUAGAGGAAGUAAAAGUCGUAACAAGGUUUCCGUAGGUGAACCUGCGGAAGGAUCAUUAAUGAAUUUUUUAGCAUUACCUCGUUAGAGGUUUUGCGAAAAAAAAAGUAUUUAAAACCUCACUCUUUAUAAAAAAAAUAAAAUUUAUUGUAUGAUAAAUUAAGAUCACUUUCAACAACGGAUCUCUUGGUUCUCGCAUCGAUGAAGAACGUAGCGAAGUGCGAUAAGUAAUGUGAAUUGCAGAAUUCCGUGAAUCAUCGAAUUUUUGAACGCAAAUUGCACUCUCUGGUAUUCCAAGGGAGUAUGCCUGUUUGAGGGUUAAUUUAAUUAAAAUCGAUUGUGUUGCUUUUUUGUGGUAAUGCUUUCGGAAUUGAACCUUUCUUAACCUCCGGUUAAGUGGUUUAAAAUUUAUCUGGGCGAUUUUUAACGCGUACUUAAGACACGUUUUUUAUACGUUUUGAAACGCCGAACUUAUUAGAUAUGACCGGAUUUUUUCUUUCGGUUACAUGUCUAUAGCAUCAUUUCAUUUAUUGACCUCAAAUCAGGUAAGAUUACCCGCUGAACUUAAGCAUAUCAAUAAGCGGAGGAAAAGAAAAUAACAAUGAUUCCCUUAGUAACUGCGAGUGAAGGGGGAUAAGCUCAAAUUUAAAAUCUGUUAGGUUUUACCUGACCGAAUUGUAAUUUGAAGAAGCGUUUUCUGCGUGUUUGAUUAGCCUAAAUCCUUUGGGAUAAGGUAUUUAUGGAGGGGCGAGAAUCCCGUUCGGUUAAUCAUUGCGUUUUACGAUACGCUUUCAAAGAGUCAAGUUGUUUGGGAUUGCAGCUUAAAAUGGGAGGUAAAUUUCUCCUAAGGCUAAAUAUUGGCGAGAGACCGAUAGCGAACAAGUACCGUGAGGGAAAGAUGAAAAGCACUUUGAAAAGAGAGCUAAACAGCGCGUGAAAUUGUUGAAAGGGAAACGAUUGAAGUCAGUCGUACCGACGAGUAAUCAGCCUUUCGGGUGUGAUUUUACCGGACACGGAGAGCUUUACCGCAUUCGUGCUUGUAAAUUUGUGCCCUUUGGGUGUACUUUCUCGUAUGGUUAGUUAACAUCAAUUUUGAUCGUUAUAAAAUGACUGGAGUAAUGUAGCUUCGAUCUUGUAUUGAAGUGUUAUAGACUUUGGUAGAUGUAACGAUUGGGAUUGAGGAUUGCAACGAAUACCCUUCGGGCUAUCCGUCUGGCCUCUGAAAGUCGUCUUGGUGCCGAAAGCGUGCUUACGGUUAUCGAGGCUGACGGUCAAAAGGUUAGAACGCGAUUAAAUUCGUUAAGGAUGUUGACGUAAUGGCUUUAAACGACCCGUCUUGAGACACGGACCAAGGAGUCUAACAUAUAUGCGAGUGUU